ACCAUCGUUACGAGAAAAGAGAAGCCCCCACGACCUAUUCGCCCCAACCGCUGCACGCCCCUUGCCUCACUGCCGACCACGCCGCCCGCACGCACCCUACACCGCCUCGUCUCUCCGGCGCCUGCCCCGCCUCCCCGAUGCGAGGCAGCUCUACGCGCCGCCCCUCAUCAUCGGCGGCGAGAGGCACGCGGGAGCUGCAGCCGCCGCCAGGGACGUGGACGCGUGUAGGCCAACCGCCAGCGUACGAGGUCGCUCCUGAGCCCGCGGUGCGGCGGCGCGGAGCCCUCCGCCGCCAGUUCCCUGCCGGUUCGAGAUCCCCACCGCUCUCCUCCAUGCCAUCACUUUCCUUCCUGCUGCCAGUUCCACCCUUCUCUGCCCUAUCUCCAGGCGCAAACAACCUAUAGAGUCAAGAGUACAAUACCAAAAUACGAGCUGCAAAAGUGACUCAAAUUCCUUUUCGCUCAUAAUUAACUACAUUGAGGUGGAGGCUGGCCUGCAGCUCGUGUGCGUGAAAGAGAAGCACACUUCAUUGAGAAGUUUUUGCCGCUAUCCUCGGUGGCACCGCCAGUGACCAAACUUGGUGUGGACAACAUGCUGGAGAGAGAAUGUUCAUCCCUAUGAUCCCUUUGGCGCCCUCGGAGGACAUUUCGCUUCCUUUCAAAUUGAAGAGGAAACAAUUCCCUGGAUGGAUCCUGGAAAGCCUCUUCCGGAACCAAGUCCCCUCCCCACUCGGAGUCCUCCGCCGCUGACGCAUGGGUAAGCGCAAGAGCUGUAGCCCGUCCACACGGUUUAGCGAGCUGCCGCCAUCGUAGAUAACCAAGACAUACACGGAAAUAAGCAAGAUUCAGUGCGCCGCCCUGCCCCCACGCGUUAUGAGGGUGCGACGUCCUCGACGUGUCCAAGACAGGGUCCAGGAAGACCCUCUCCUUCGUGAUCCCGAUAGGCCCAAUCUUCCUCGACGAGGGGUUGUGAUGGCGGGCACAGCGUUGCUGGAUGACGCUGAGAGUAUAGUGGGUGGGUUCAAGUACAUCCCUCUGUGCCAGCAUGCAGCGGGUCUGCCGACAGGGAGAGCCAGGAAGAGAAUGUAGUCCGCGGCAGCUGAGCGGGAAGGGGGGCAGCUUGCCGUGAUUGAAGAACAUGACGACCAUGCUGAUACAAGGUCAGUGAUGUAGACAGGGAAGAUGGACCCUCAUGCCCCUGGGUGGACGAAGAGAUUGUGCAGGAUUUGGGUAGGGAGCCAUCCACCGGAAAGGACCCCGUGUUCGGAGAAGGUUUGCGCACUUGAAAAGACGAUUAGUAUGUGAAGAAGUGCACCUUCACAUAUCUGAAUAUUGAUACCCUUCCUAAUCCUUAGUUUUGGGCCUUGUUCAGCAUAUACAGAUAUACUACCAUCUUAGAGAAAUAUGUUGUUUAAAGAUGAAGAGGUGGAUAAGUUUCUGGCUUUAGUUACUGAAUAUCCAGAUCCGGUUUGCUUCUCAGCCAUGGCCUACAUUUAGAGAAGACAUGUUUAUAUGUAAGAGCUUUAAGGUCAAUUACCUCCCCAUGUUGUAAUGCUCAUCAUCUUAAUUCGGACAUUGUUAUAUAUAUGCACCAUGGUUCAUGACUGUACUUUUUUCA